rnacentral:lncRNA from 1 species
UCACGUCCCCCUUUCUGGCAAAGGUGACUCUGGCGCUCCAAGGGGACACACUAUGUCGAAUAAACCAAUUAUCCUGCAGUUCAGUGAUCUGUUUCCUCAAUUCCUCCAUCUCAAUACGGCUCAUGCGGUAAGGAGCAAUCGAAAUGUGCUAAGCUCCUAGAUGAAGGUCUAUAGCGAAUUCAACUUCUCUGUCCACUUGCAGUUCGGGCAGUUCAUCCAAAAACAUAUCUGAAAAUUCUCAGACUACCAGAAUCUCUUGAAUACAAAUCUCUU